GAAUGAGCAGACCUAUCUCAUUUUAUUCCUGUAGGUUUUAAAAUCAUAUGGAUCCAUCUUAAAGCAAAACAAAAUAUUUUUCUGAAACUGCUGCAACUGUUUGUCAUGGCGCAAAGCAGUCUUUUUCCUGCCUUGUACCAAGUAAAAAGCAACCCAAAAGCCCCUGCAUGUCUUUUGUACACGACAGGGGUUCAAGUCUGCCCUCUUUCACCAUAGGAAUGGAAAGCUGUCGUGGAAUUGACCCAGUGCAGAGGUAUAACCCUGGAUUACCAGGAAGGAGGCUUAAUGGGGCCUGAGUACCUAAUCAGGCCUCAGGUGUGCCUGCUGUGGGCGUGAGGAGCCUGUCGUUGCAGCAGGGCAGGUGGGCAAGACCUACGAGAGGAGAAAAACUAGCUGUGGUGACAAUGCUUGCCUACAAGAAAAUCAUAAGGUCUGUGUGAACUGAAGGAGGAAACAGGGAGCUGGAGGAAUCCAGGGGAAUGAUGUCAUGAGCACUAUUACACGUUCCCGUAAAAUUUGCAGCAAUCUGUUUGUGAUGACUGUUAAAUGACCAGCACCAAUCAAAACUCUUUCUCAAGACUUGCACAGAAAGUGAAAACUGUUUGAGGAUGCUCUGAAUUUCAUACUGAAGCGGUGUAAAAGCCAAGGCAAGUGAACAGAACACUAGUGGUAACAAGAGAUCAAGGAUCUUUCUUGACGUGAAUGUAGUUGAACAGCUACAUACCGACCAGAUGUUCUCAGAGAAACUUUGAUUUCAUCCCAAUGUCUCUAAGAGUCUGCGUGUGAUAAGAUGUAUUGGUUCCGCUCGCCUGGAGAGAAGGUUUGUGAGCGCACUAUCAUGCUGUUCCUGACAAAAGGACGCUGUCUUGAGCUCCAGCUGGCUCUGUCCUUGGGUCGCACUGUAGCGCUCUCGUUCACGCAUUCCUCAGUGUUAGUCUCUUUAUCAACCUAUGAAAAGGAAUUUACUUUAUAAGAAUUACUAUAUCCAGACACAUGCCACUACAUAUUUUUUGUGCCUUUGGAUUUUACAAGCAUUCUUGUUACCUUGCAGCAGAUGGAAAAAGACCAGUAGCAAAAAGCACCUUGCACAUACAGAGAAGCUACGCUCAGUAAAGAAACACAAAAUUCCCAAAACACUUAACAGUGUGUGGGAAGUCUUUGAAGGAAGGUACUCUUUGUAUCCAGAAAAACCAAAGCUUUUGCAGAAAGGCCUUUGCUGCCCUGCAGAUGGUCUGAUGCAACCAUGGCGCAACAAGUGUUUUGUUUUGCCAUUUGCAGACAUUGUUGUUAUUGUGCAUUUAUAUUUAUUUUGUUCUGCAUUUGCAGAACAGCAGGGUUCUGCUGUGCUAGAGGUGGUGCCUAUGCACACUGAAAGGGGCAGCUGGGAAAGUUACAUUGCCCAGGUUCUUCUAGAAAUACUAGGCUAUGUCCCCCAAGCACCAGCGGCGGAGCUGCUUUAUGGCAAUCUGCAGAGCUGCACCAACCUUGUGAACCCAGGGAAAAGACACAGCUAGCUGCUGCCCCUCAGAAGAGCCUGCUGCCUACUACAGUUGCCCCACACAUGCCACAGGGAGCCUCGGGUGCCAAUAUCCCUGUCAGAGGCACAGCCUGUGCUUACAUGCAGCAGUCAUCUUGACAGCCUGGCUAGAACAAGCACUGCAGCAGCUGGCACAUCUGAUGUUACUGAUAUGCACUGGGGCAUUUUCUUCAACUCGGGUAAUUUAAUGAGGUUCAUUGUUUUCAAUGUGCAUGUGAUAAAUACAAUGACCUAAAUCACACAACUGCAACCCUGAGAGGAUCUGGCACAUGAAGAUCUAUACUGUGGCUGGCUAUACAAUGAGCUGUGCCAUGUGUUUCACUCACUGUCCAGGUCCGUCCAGCCCAGGUUUAGCAAAACACUUGUGUGCAUGCCUAACCUUCAGAUGUUGUCCUUGAUGUGUCCCCUUGCCGAGCUGGGGCUUUGAUCUAUAUUUGCUUGCUACCCAGCAGGCUGUCAGUCCUUUUAAUACCAUGGCCUUAGCACAUUUGGCAUCUUGCCACAUUAAUUGCAAGUUAAUUACAGUUUCCAGCAAGUCCACUGAGGUGUUGAACUUUUGUAUUGUCAGAAACAUGAAGGAACGAGAUGUCAUCCUUUGCCUUUUUACCUUUGCUAUUUUACAGAACCUGUGGGGUUAACGCAAGCAACAGUGUUUUCAUUAAGACGCAGAAAGGUGUUCUGAAAAUUUUAUGUCUAGAGUGUGUGCUACCACAUCAGGGAUAUGUUUACUAAAAAUUUACUAAAAGUGCUUUUGGCAAGGUGGAAUAUAAUUUAAAAUAAA